GCAGUGCCGGCCCUAGGGGGAGGGCAGGAGGUGCGACGGCCGAGGGCCCUCGCGAGAUAGGGGCCUAAACCUAGCGAUCAUGAGUCGCGAUUUCUAGACUUUUGGUGACACGGCGAGACCGCGAGAAGAGACGCAGCGGCAUCAGCGACACAUUCACCAGUUCACCACGCCAUCACGAGCUGCAGUGGAUAAUACCAAAACCUCUGCACCCGAGUUCUAGCCUUCCAAACUCCAAACGAUAGCGGCGACCAGCUGGCAGGGCUCGACGAGGACUACGACAUGUGAUCUUUGUUAUUUCCUUCUACCCUUUUAUUUUUUGUGAUUUGUGAAUCUUAGUUGUUUAUGUCCCAAUUGUCUAGGCACUAGUUUUUUUUAUUCAAUUUUUGUCUAGUACUUUAUACUCAUAUAGUUAUAUUUUUCUUGUAAUUUAGGUUAGGUGUUAGAAUUUGAGAAUGUUACCUAAGAAACAAUUGUCAAGGACCAUGAAAAGAAAAUGAAAAAGAUAAGAAGAGCAGUUUGUCUAUA